CAGCCGCCGCGGUAAUACGGAGGGUGCAAGCGUUAAUCGGAAUUACUGGGCGUAAAGCGCACGCAGGCGGUCUGACAAGUCAGAUGUGAAAUCCCCGGGCUUAACCUGGGAACUGCAUUUGAAACUGUCAGGCUGGAGUCUUGUAGAGGGGGGUGGAAUUCCAGGUGUAGCGGUGAAAUGCGUAGAGAUCUGGAGGAAUACCGGUGGCGAAGGCGGCCCCCUGGACAAAGACUGACGCUCAGGUGCGAAAGCGUGGGGAGCAAACAGGAUUAGAUACCCCGGUAGUCCCUGUCUCUUAUAA
rnacentral:rRNA from 1 species